rnacentral:rRNA from 1 species
UAGGGAAUCUUGCACAAUGGAGGAAACUCUGAUGCAGCGACGCCGCGUGAGUGAUGAAGGCUUUCGGGUUGUAAAGCUCUGUUCUCAGGGAAAAAUAAAUUGAUUGUACCUGAGGAGAAAGGACCGGCUAACUUCGUGCCAGCAGCCGCGGUAAGACGGGGGGUCCAAGCGUUGUUCGGAAUCAUUGGGCGUAAAGCGGGCGUAGGUGGCCUUGCAAGUCAGGAGUGAAAGCCCUGGGCUCAACCCAGGAAGUGCUCUUGAUACUGCUUGGCUUGAAUGUGGGAGAGGGUAGUAGAAUUCCUGGUGUAGUGGUGAAAUACGUAGAUAUCAGGAGGAAUACCGGUGGCGAAGGCGGCUACCUGGCCCAACAUUGACACUGAGGCCCAAAAGCGUGGGGAUCAAACAGG